UGGGGAAUAUUGGACAAUGGGCGAAAGCCUGAUCCAGCCAUGCCGCGUGUGUGAAGAAGGUCUUCGGAUUGUAAAGCACUUUAAGUUGGGAGGAAGGGCAUUAACCUAAUACGUUAGUGUUUUGACGUUACCGACAGAAUAAGCACCGGCUAACUCUGUGCCAGCAGCCGCGGUAAUACAGAGGGUGCAAGCGUUAAUCGGAAUUACUGGGCGUAAAGCGCGCGUAGGUGGUUUGUUAAGUUGGAUGUGAAAUCCCCGGGCUCAACCUGGGAACUGCAUUCAAAACUGACUGACUAGAGUAUGGUAGAGGUUGGUGGAAUUUCCUGUGUAGCGGUGAAAUGCGUAGAUAUAGGAAGGAACACCAGUGGCGAAGGCGACCACCUGGACUAAUACUGACACUGAGGUGCGAAAGCGUGGGAGCAAACA
rnacentral:rRNA from 1 species